rnacentral:tRNA from 1 species
CGAGAUGUAGCGCAGUUUGACUAGCGCGUCCGCUUCGGGAGCGGAAGGUCGGGGGUUUGAAUCCCCCUAUCUCGACCA